CGGCGGACGGGUGAGUAAUGUCUGGGAAACUGCCCGAUGGAGGGGGAUAACUACUGGAAACGGUAGCUAAUACCGCAUAAUGUCUACGGACCAAAGCGGGGGACCUCCGGGCCUCGCGCCAUCAGAUGAACCCAUAUGGGAUUAGCUAGUAGGUGAGGUAACGGCUCACCUAGGCGACGAUCCCUAGCUGGUCUGAGAGGAUGACCAGCCACACUGGAACUGAGACACGGUCCAG
rnacentral:rRNA from 1 species